GACGAACCGUGCGAACGUUGUUCGGAAUCACUGGGCUUAAAGGGCGCGUAGGCGGCUUGCCAAGUCAGGGGUGAAAUCCUGCAGCUUAACUGUAGAAGGGCCUUUGAUACUGGCGAGCUCGAGGGAGGUAGGGGUAUGUGGAACUUCCGGUGGAGCGGUGAAAUGCGUUGAUAUCGGAAGGAACACCGGUGGCGAAGGCGGCCCCCUGGUUGGAUACUGACGCUGAGACGCGAAAGCGUGGGGAGCAAACAGG
rnacentral:rRNA from 1 species